GCUCUGACACUGUGUGAGGCUUUUCCCUCACAGGGACAAAUAGCUGAAGGUAACCAUUUCAAAGAGGAAAGAUUCCGGUUUGCUCAGUGGCAGAGAACUUAGCUCUGUCAUCCUUGACAGCAUUGCUUUAGGGUCUGUGGUGAGUCAAAGUGUCAAGUAUGUGUUUCUCUUCAGAAUACAAGGAGUGUAUGGGAAGUAAACCAAAUACAUUUUGGAGAUAUCAAGUGUCCUGUUGAUACUGAUAAAACAAUACUGGGGAGAGGAUUUUUGACGGAAGAAAAGGAGGAUCUUUGGGGAAUACUAAAAAACACCAGUCAAUCAGACCAACAGUGAGGAGGGACAAAUGACACUUUCCUUCAAUCACACUGAGAAAUCUCUCCUUCAUUUGUAUUUUGAUGCCCGGAAGAAUCAUGGGUGCUUCUCGGAUCUAUUAACUAAUCUCAGAAAGCCAAGGAAAAUGAACUAUAUGAUGGCUGAGGUUGACAAAAGCAACUUUAAGUCACCAAGAGGCAAAAUGCCAAGUGGCACAUGAGGAACAACCAGCUCCUUGCCAGAGGUGGAAACCGUCCAAAGG
rnacentral:lncRNA from 1 species